CAUCACUUCGCAGAGCAUUGCGGAAAUUGGUGAAGAGGAAGCUGAAGGUGGAUUUUCAAAGGUUGAAUUAAGCCCUGGGCAAAAAUCAUUUUAAAGAAAGAAGCACAAACACCAUUAGAGCCAUCGAAGAUCAAUUUUGCUAAAGGUGAGCGGUAACAUCUUCCAAGGCCUCUGAACAUCGAAGUGGGAGAGCAGGAAGACAAAAGAGAGAAUUGCACAGACAAAGCUGUGGCCUGCCGUGUGUUGUUGUCAUUGUCGUCCCGUUCCCCCCCCC